AUGCAAGUUGUGCCAGGAACUUGGGCACAGAGUGGGAUCUGUCAAAUGCCGUUACACUCCUGAUAAGCCAAAGAGGAAGCGAGCAAGUCAGCCCCUUGUUGUUGAACAGUGUUGGCCAACAAAAAAAGCAAGAGUCAAUGGCGGUAGAAAGAAGAGAAGUGUGCCUGAGCCUAAGCAGACUGAAGAAAAUCUUGCUGCAGUCAACAUUCAGACUGAAGAAACUGCUCUCGAGGUUGAAACUGAACCUGAGCGUGUCGAGGUUCAGACUGAAGAAACCCAUGUUGAGGUACACACCGAAGAAACUGAACCUGAGCGUGUCGAGGUUCAGACUGAAGAAACCCAUGUUGGGGUACACAUCGAAGAAACUGAAACUGCUGUCAACAUUGAGACUGAAGACACUGAUCACGAGGGUGUUGGCGAGGUGUUGAAAAGACCAGUGAAGAAAACCAAGAUGAUCAGUGAACUUGUGUGUGUAGUAGAACCAAAAACAAGAAGUGCUAAGGCGAAGAAGGGCACGCGACGUGGUAGGAAGAGGUAGAACAGAGAACAGUUUGAAAAUUUGGGGCAUGUAAUAAUAUUUGUAACUUGGUGCGUACUGGUAGUCACUAUGUAUCCCCGUAUUUCUAUUCGAACUUGUUUGUUGGUACCUUGUCUAAACCAGCCAAAUAAAAUUAAAAUUAAAAUUCAAAUUUGGACUCAAAUUUGAAUUAGGGAUGGGGUAUUGAUGUUUUAAUGCUAUCUAAAGUACCUCAACUGAAAUAUGUUUGCUUGCUGAUCAUUCCGAGCCCUUUUGGUAAGUUGAACUCAUAGUCAUGAAAAGUGUGUCUCAAAUGACCUCCAAAGGUAGGAUAAACGGCCUCAUAUUUAAGCAAGUUUUUUUGGCACCUUGUCUAAACCAGCCAAAUAA